GACGAACGCUGGCGGCGUGCUUAACACAUGCAAGUCGAACGAUAAGGCCCCAGCUUGCUGGGGUACACGAGUGGCGAACGGGUGAGUAACACGUGGGUGACCUGCCCUGCACUUCGGGAUAAGCCCAGGAAACUGGGGCUAAUACCGGAUAGGACCGCACGCUGCGGGGGGGGGGGUAAGAUUUUUCGGUGGGGGAUGGGCCCGCGGCGUAUCAGCUUGUUGGUGGGGUAGUGGCCUACCAAGGCGGCGACGGGUAGCCGGCCUGAGAGGGUGGCCGGCCACAUUGGGACUGAGACACGGCCCAGACUCCUACGGGAGGCAGCAGUGGGGAAUAUUGCACAAUGGGCGGAAGCCUGAUGCAGCGACGCCGCGUGGGGGAUGACGGCCUUCGGGUUGUAAACUGCUUUCGCCAUCGACGAAGGGUUUCUGACGGUAGAUGGUGAAGAAGCACCGGCUAACUACGUG
rnacentral:rRNA from 1 species